UGAUAAGAGGGGCAGUCUCAUAACCCAA
rnacentral:piRNA from 1 species